GACGAACGCUGGCGGCGUGCUUAACACAUGCAAGUCGAACGGAAAGGCCCUGAUUUUGUGGGGUGCUCGAGUGGCGAACGGGUGCGUAACACGUGAGUAACCUGCCCUUGACUUUGGGAUAACUUCAGGAAACUGGGGCUAAUACCGGAUAGGAGCUCCUGCUGCGUGGUGGGGGUUGGAAAGUUUCGGCGGUUGGGGAUGGAUUCGCGGCUUAUCAGCUUGCUGGUGGGGUAGUGGCUUACCAAGGCUUUGACGGGUAGCCGACCAGAGAGGGUGACCGGCCACAUUGGUCCUAAGAUACGGACCAGACUGGUAUGGGAGGCAGCAGUGGGAAAUAUUGCACAGUGGGCGGAAGCCUGAUGCAGAAGCGCCGCGUGCGGAAAGACGGCCUGCGGGGUGUAAACCGCUUUCGCCUGUAACGCAGCGUGUGUGACGGUAAUGGGUAAAGAAGCACCGGCUAACUACGUG
rnacentral:rRNA from 1 species